UACGUAGGGCGCAAGCGUUGUCCGGAUUUACUGGGCGUAAAGAGCGCGCAGGCGGUCGUUCAAGUCGCGUGUGAAAGCCCCCGGCUCAACUGGGGAGGGUCACGCGAUACUGAUCGACUCGAAGGCAGGAGAGGGUAGUGGAAUUCCCGGUGUAGUGGUGAAAUGCGUAGAUAUCGGGAGGAACACCAGUGGCGAAGGCGACUACCUGGCCUGUUUCUUGACGCUGAGGCGCGAAAGCUAGGGGAGCAAACGGG
rnacentral:rRNA from 1 species